rnacentral:rRNA from 1 species
CAGCAGCCGCGGGAAUACGUAGGGUGCGAGCGUUAAUCGGAAUUACUGGGCGUAAAGCGUGCGCAGGCGGUUUUGUAAGACAGGCGUGAAAUCCCCGGGCUCAACCUGGGAAUGGCGCUUGUGACUGCAAAGCUAGAGUGCGGCAGAGGGGGAUGGAAUUCCGCGUGUAGCAGUGAAAUGCGUAGAUAUGCGGAGGAACACCGAUGGCGAAGGCAAUCCCCUGGGCCUGCACUGACGCUCAUGCACGAAAGCGUGGGGAGCAAACAGGAUUAGAUACCCCAGUAGUCCCUGUCUCUUAUAC